GACGAACGCUGGCGGCGUGCCUAAUACAUGCAAGUCGAGCGAACAGACGAGGAGCUUGCUCCUCUGACGUUAGCCGCGGACGGGUGAGUAACACGUGGAUAACCUACCUAUAAGACUGGGAUAACUUCGGGAAACCGGCGCUAAUCCCGGAUAAUAUAUUGAACCGCAUGGUUCAAUAGUGAAAGACGGCUUUGGUGUAUCUUAUAGCUGGAUACGCGCCGCAUUAGCUAGUAGGUAAGGUAACGGCCUACCAAGGCAACGAUGCGUAGCCGACCUGAGGGGGUGAUCGGCCACACGGGAACUGAGACACGGUCCAGGCUCCUACGGGAGGCAGCAGUAGGGAAUCUUCCGCAGUGGGCGAAAGCCUGACAGAGCAACGCCGCGUGAGUGAUGAAGGUCUUCGGAUCGUAAAACUCUGUUAUUAGGGAAGAACAAAUGUGUAAGUAACUAUGCACGUCUUGACGGUACCUAAUCAGAAAGCCACGGCUAACUACGUG
rnacentral:rRNA from 1 species